AGGUGCUUCCCUUUGAGGGCUCAGACACAUGGGAGGUUGAAACACCCACCUCACAAGACCUAUUAUGUGGUGAGAGAAGCCCAUCAAAAGGGGGCCUUUUCACUGCAUAAUAAAUAGUUGCCACCACAUAACCGUUGCACACUUCCCCCCUCCCACACAAACACACAUACACACACAUAUUUUGGGCAGGGAAGGGUGAAAUCUCAUAUUUAAAUUUGCCCUUGUACAUAAUAGGACCUGAGCAUCCUCAGAUUUUGGUAUCUACAGGGGUCCUGAAACCAAACUCCAGCUGGGGACUGAAAGGCACAGCCCAGCUCUCACCUGGCAUCUUAGAGCCAAAGAAUGGCUGGAGACUGAAAUGAGAUCCAUAGAAACCACUGCGGAUGCCAUGAAGCCAGCCAGGAGGGACACCGCUCAUUGCCAAGCUUGGCCACCGCCCAGAGAGGAUUAAAUGCUUCCUUGGUUCUAUUCCCAGAAACCGACCUGCUCUCCUUCCUACAAUGCAGCUCUUAGGCUCUCCUUACAUUCUUCUAUGAGUAAUACACUUUCCCUUCUCUCUCUUUCCAACAGCAUUGUGUCCAUCUGUCAGAUUUGUCAGCACCAAAGCAGCUUCCUAUGCAGGAGGAGGAGGCGACCCAGGGAAUGUGGGAAAACUCGUGAACCCAGAUCCAGCCUCCCUACAAAUAGUCUAGCGCAACUAGCAGGCCUGCCGUAUGAAGAGAGGAAAAGUUCAUCCGCCUAAGUGUUGGAUUUUGCUGCGCCUUUUAAGAAUUUCUUCAAGGUUUUUCACUGGAUGUCAACAAUUUAAAUUUGUAGAAAGAUUUAUAUUGCAGAGAGUUGGGCCUAAGGUGGAAACUGAGUUUCUGAGUUUUGCCAUAUGAACAAUGAAAUUCUUAAAGUGUUACUGUAUUUUCUCAGGUUUAAAAGUAGCAAUCAUUUUUUUUAUUUGUGUGUGUGUGUGUGUGUGUGUGUGUGUGUGUGUGUGCAUGAGCGGGCGCAUGCGUGUGUGAAUAAUAAUUGAAUUAUUAUUAUUAUUAUUAUUAAUUCAUUUAUUUAUCAUAUUUAUACCCCACCUGUCUCAUCCCAUAGGGGACUCAAGGAGGCUUACAUAUGUAGGCAACAAUUUGAUACCAUACAAAUAUAUACAACAUAUACAUUGAAACAAUCAUUAAAAACAAAUCAAACUUUACAACCACUUAGAAUCAUAGAAUCAUAGAAGUUGGAAGAGACCUCACGGGCCAUCCAGUCCAACCCCAUUCUGCCAAGAAGCAGGAAAAUCUCAUUCAAAGCACCCCCGACAGAUGGCCACCCAGCUUCUGCUUAAAAGCCUCCAAAGAAGGAGCCUCCACCACAGUCUGGGGCAGAGAGUUCCACUGCUGAACAGCUCUCCCUCACAGGAAGUUCUUCCACAUGUUCAGGUGAAAUCUCCUUCCCUGUAGUUUAAAGCCCUUGUUCCAUUGCGUCCUAGUCUGCAGGGCAGCAGAAAACAAGCUUGCUCCCUCCUCCCUAUGACUUCCCCUCCCAUAUUUGUACAUGGCUAUCAUGUCUCCUCUCAGCCUUCUCUUCUGCAGGCUAAACAUGCCCAGCUCUUUAAGCCGCUCCUCAUAGGGCUUGUUCUCCAGACCCUUAAUCAUUUUAGUCGCCCUCCUCUGGACACUUUCCAGCUUGUCAACAUCUCCCUUCAACUGCGGUGCCCAAAAUUGGACACAGUAUUCCAGGUGUGGUCUGACCAAGGCAGAAUAGAAUAAGGUGGAGCAGGACUUCCCUGGAUCUAGACGCUAUUCCCCUUUUGAUGCAGGCCAGAAUCCCAUUGGCUUUUUUUAGCAGCUGCAACACAUUGCUGGCUCAUGUUUAACUUGUUGUCCACGAGGACUCCAAGAUCUUUUUCACACGUACUGCUGUCUAGCCAGGCAUCGUCCCCCAUUCUGUAUCUUUGCAUUCCAUUUUUUCUGCCGAAGUGAAGUAUCUUGCAUUUGUCCCUGUUGAACUUCAUGCUGUCCGUUUUUUGGUCUUUGUAAAAACAGAUGUUUUUUCCUAGCUACUUGUGUUAAUGAAAAAUUGAAGACCAUAUAUUUGACAUUGUGCUUUACAGUCUUGAAGAAAGAAAUGUGACUUUUUAAUAGAACUGUGGCAAUUUUUGGGGUUUUUUUUUUUUCAUUGAGAAACUGUAAGUUGCUUUUAGUGUGAGAGAAUUGGUCGUGUGCAAGGGCACGCCCGGAUGUUUUGAUGUUUUUAGUAUCCUUGUGGGAGGCUUCUCUCAUGUCCCUGCAUGGAGCUGGAGCUGAUGGAGGGAGCUCAUCUCUCCAGGUUGCAUUCGAACUGGCAACCUUCAGGUCAGCAACCCAACCUUCAAGUCAGCAGUCCUGCACAAGGGUUUGAACCCACUGCACCACUGGGGGGGGGCUCUAAUUUUUAGGUUAGGAUCCAGCUCACUGGAAUUACUCUGCUCUGUUUUAAUUGUGUUCUGUCAUGUUUAUUGUUGCCUACCUUGAAUCUCUAUAUUGUCACAAAGCCAGUACAAGAAUGAGCAAAUAAAGAAAUUAUUUUCCUUUUCUGCUGUUCUUUGUCUCUUGAAUGUCAAAAGUACCCCGUCAUUUGCUGAAGCUUUUAGUUCUAGGUAUUGCUGGAUGGGGUCAUUUAGAACUGUGGUCCAAAACAGUAACAUUUGAAAGCU
rnacentral:lncRNA from 11 species